rnacentral:siRNA from 1 species
GCCGUUGAAAGGUGUGCAAUGGU